AUGUGACUAAAAAUAGACUUUAUAGUCUGGCGUUUCCACAGUGAGUGAGUUUUCCCGACGUUGCUAAUGUUGUCAUCUUCAACUAAAGGUUUAGAGGUAAAACAAGAGCAAAAGAAUUGGAAAUAGUAUGCUUCUAGUAUUCAUAUCAGCAAAUAUAGCUGCUUCUCCGUCUCUUUGGGCACUUGGGAGGGAUCGUGGAAAUAUGUGAUUCUCCAUAAUUCUGAACUCCUGAAGACCUAUCACGGAUU